rnacentral:rRNA from 1 species
AACGAACGCUGGCGGCAUGCCUAACACAUGCAAGUCGAACGAGACCUUCGGGUCUAGUGGCGCACGGGUGCGUAACCCGUGGGAACCUGCCCUUAGGUUCGGAAUAACUCUCCGACAGGGGUGCCAAUACCGAAUAAUGUCUUCGGACCAAGGAUUUAUCGCCUUUGGAUGGACCCGCGUUGGAUUAGCUCGUUGGUAGGGUAAUAGCCUACCAAGGCGUCGAUCCAUAGCUGGUUUGAGAGGAUGAUCAGCCACACUGGGACUGAGACGCGGCCCAGACUCCUACGGGAGGCAGGAGUGGGGAAUAGUGGACAAUGGGCGAAGGCCUGAUCCAGCUAGGCCGCGUGAGUGAUGAAGGCAUGAGGGUUGUAAAGCUCUUUUACCCGGGAUGAUAAUGACAGUACCGAGAGAAUAAGCUCCGGCUAACUCCGUG